rnacentral:pre_miRNA from 1 species
GGCUCAGAUUUGAAGUAGAUUGGGUAAGUAGGGCCAUCCGAUGCUACUUAUCUACCCUACUUCGAGUUUGUGCCC